GACGAAGGACCCAAGCGUUAUCCGGAUUCAUUGGGCUUAAAGGGUGCGUAGGCGGGUUGAUAAGUCCGUGGUGAAAGCCCAACGCUUAACGUUGGAACUGCCAUUGAUACUGUCGAUCUUGAAUGUGUUUGAUGUGGGCGGAAUAUGACAUGUAGCGGUGAAAUGCUUAGAUAUGUCAUAGAACACCGAUUGCGAAGGCAGCUCACAAAGCCACUAUUGACGCUGAGGCACGAAAGCGUGGGGAUCAAACAGG
rnacentral:rRNA from 1 species